rnacentral:rRNA from 1 species
CAUAGGUUAAUGAGGCGAACCGGGGGAACUGAAACAUCUAAGUACCCCGAGGAAAAGAAAUCAACCGAGAUUCCCCCAGUAGCGGCGAGCGAACGGGGAGCAGCCCAGAGCCUGAAUCAGUGUGUGUGUUAGUGGAAGCGUCUGGAAAGGCGCGCGAUACAGGGUGACAGCCCCGUACACAAAAAUGCACAUACUGUGAGCUCGAUGAGUAGGGCGGGACACGUGGUAUCCUGUCUGAAUAUGGGGGGACCAUCCUCCAAGGCUAAAUACUCCUGACUGACCGAUAGUGAACCAGUACCGUGAGGGAAAGGCGAAAAGAACCCCGGCGAGGGGAGUGAAAAAGAACCUGAAACCGUGUACGUACAAGCAGUGGGAGCACGCUUAGGCGUGUGACUGCGUACCUUUUGUAUAAUGGGUCAGCGACUUAUAUUCUGUAGCAAGGUUAACCGAAUAGGGGAGCCGAAGGGAAACCGAGUCUUAACUGGGCGUUAAGUUGCAGGGUAUAGACCCGAAACCCGGUGAUCUAGCCAUGGGCAGGUUGAAGGUUGGGUAACACUAACUGGAGGACCGAACCGACUAAUGUUGAAAAAUUAGCGGAUGACUUGUGGCUGGGGGUGAAAGGCCAAUCAAACCGGGAGAUAGCUGGUUCUCCCCGAAAGCUAUUUAGGUAGCGCCUCGUGAAUUCAUCUCCGGGGGUAGAGCACUGUUUCGGCAAGGGGGUCAUCCCGACUUACCAACCCGAUGCAAACUGCGAAUACCGGAGAAUGUUAUCACGGGAGACACACGGCGGGUGCUAACGUCCGUCGUGAAGAGGGAAACAACCCAGACCGCCAGCUAAGGUCCCAAAGUCAUGGUUAAGUGGGAAACGAUGUGGGAAGGCCCAGACAGCCAGGAUGUUGGCUUAGAAGCAGCCAUCAUUUAAAGAAAGCGUAAUAGCUCACUGGUCGAGUCGGCCUGCGCGGAAGAUGUAACGGGGCUAAACCAUGCACCGAAGCUGCGGCAGCGACGCUGAUGCGUUGUUGGGUAGGGGAGCGUUCUGUAAGCCUGCGA